rnacentral:lncRNA from 10 species
ACCACAGGCCCAGUGCCAGGCACUACAGACUGUGGAAACCAUAAAAGCAGUUGCUGAGAUGAUGUGAUGCAGUAUUUCUUAGACCAUUUCCCUCAGAAUCACUAAGAUGUUUGUUAAAAAAACAAUACCAGGGCAUAGGCCCCACCCUAAAACCAUUAAAUCAGAAUCAGAAUCAGAAAUUCUGAGGGCAAAAACCUGGAGACAAGUGUAUCUAAAAGUUCUCCAGGUAUUUCUAAUGUGCAACCAGGAUUAAGAAUCACUAAUGCCAGGUGCAGUGGCUCAUCCCUGUAAUCCCAGCACUUUGGGAGGCCGAGGCGGGUGGAUCACGAGGUCAGGAGGUCGAGACCAGCCUGGCCAAUAUUGUGAAACCCUGUCUCUACUAAAAAUACAAAAACUAGCCGGGCGUGGUGGUGUGUGCCUAUAGUCCCAGCUACUCGGGAGGCUGAGGCAGGAGAAUCACUUGAACCCAGGAGGCGGAGGUUGCAGUGAGCCGAGAUUUCGCCACUGCACUCCAGGCUGGGCAAUAGAGGGAGACUUUGCCUCAGAAAAAAAAAAAAAAAAAGAAUCACUAACCUGGUUCAGCCUUUUCAUUUGGCAGAUGAGAAAACUGAGGACUCAGAAAUUAAAUAACUUGCCUAAGAUGGUAGAGCUCUCUUCAAACAGAACCAGAAAUUAUGGUGCUACAAAAAUACCUGCUUAUCUUAGAGCCAAAACAUUUCAAUUUUAAAAAAUGGCCUCGUAUGGCAGAUACAUAAGUCAGCUCCAGAUCGACUGCAAGAACAAACCAGCAAUCCUGAGAGGAUCCACAGACUCUCUGAAGGAAGCAGACUGCUCCUGCAGGACCCAGGAGACCCCCAAAUACUAUCCUGUGCAUGUCCACGGAGCGUUUCUGAUCCAGCUCCCCGUUUUUAAUAAGGAACUCUUCAACAAGAAAUAAACUCCCUCUACUCAUUCAUGGUUCCACCUCAGUUUUAUGAACAGACAAGUGCACAAGCUGGUCCCAAAUAAUGAUGUGUCUGGUAUGCUUAACGUUUGUGUGGCAGCUGGUGGAAAACCUUAAGGUUUUUUUUCCUCCUAUUCCUUCCUGCGAAGGCGUAUGCUUCUUCUAGAAUGUCAUUUGCAUAUACGCAUACACUUAUAUACAUACACACAUAUAGGUACAUAUGAACACAUAUAAAGGACUCAGAUUAUAUGUUAAGUUGGUAGGACAUAAUGUAUUAGGCUUAGCAUUAUAGAAGAUUUAGACAUGAAUCAACACUUGGUUUAUAGUCAAGGAGCUUAAAUCUGACAGAGAAGACAUAGCAUGUUCACAAAUAACUCUAAUCCAGGAGAAAAUGUAAUAAGGGCCAGGACAAAGAGACAGCUACAGCACUACUGGAGUUUCAAAGGAGGGAGAGAUUGCAUGCAUGCCUCCGAUAGUUGCAGGAAGAGUGGAGACAGUGGCAGAGGAGGCAUCUGAGCUGCAUCCUGAAAGAUGGACCGAAUUUGCCUCUGCCAACAUGAGGAGGUGGGAUAUCCAAAUGACAGAGGGCACACAUAAAGAUCCAGAAGUAGGUAAAAAGGCAUGUCUAGGGACCACUGAAGACAUUACUUGGGCCAGAACAAGGGGCCCAUGGAGGGGAGUAAAGGUCAAUUGAUUUGGGGAAAGAGGGUAUGUAUUAGUUUUCUUGGUUGCUAUAACAAAUUGCUGGCUGGGCAUGGUGGCUCAUGUCUAUAAUCCUAGCACUUUGGGAGGCCGAGGCAUGCAGAUUGCUUGAGCCCAGCUCAAGAUCAACCUGGGCAACACAGGGAAACCCCAUCUCUACAAAAAUUUUAAAAAAACUAGCCAAGCAUUGUGGCACAUACCUGUGGUCCCAGCUACUUGAGAGGCUGAGGCCGGAGGAUCACUUGGGCCUGGGAGGUUGAGGCUGCAGUAAGCUAUGAUGUGCCACUGCACUCCAGCCUGGAUGACAGAGCAAGACCAUCUCAAACAAACAAACAAACAAACAAACAAAAAAGCUGGGUGCAGUGGCUCACGCCUGUAAUCUCAACACUUUGGGAGGCCAAGCUGGGUGGAUCACUUGAGGUAAGAAGUUCAAGACCAGCCUGGCCAACAUGGGGAAACCCUGUCUCUACAAAAAAUACAAAAAAUUAGCUGGGCAUGGUGGCAGCCACCUGUAAUCCCAGCUACUUGGGAGGCUGAGGCAGGAGAAUCGCCUGAACCCGGGAAGUGGAAGUUGCAGUGAGCCGAGAUUGCACCAUUGCACUCCAGGCUGGGCAACAAGAGUGAAACUCCAUCUAAUAAAAUAAAUAAAUUAAUUAAUUAAUUAAAUAAAACAAAAAACCAAAUUGCCACAAGCUGAGUGGCUUAAGACAACACAAAUUUAUCAUUUUACAGUUCUGGAGGUCAGAACUCUAAGGGCCUCCCUGGGCUAAAAUCAAGGCAUCAGCAGAGCUGUGUUCCUUCCUGCAGGCCCUACAGGAGAAUUCAUUUUCCUGCCUUUUCCAGGUGAAAGCUGCUCACAUUCCUUGGCUUGUAACUCCCUUUCAUUUUCAAAGCCAGCAAUGGCUGGUGGAGUCUUUCUCACAUCACAUCACAUCUUCUGCCCCCUGCUUCCACGUUUAAGGACACUUGUAAAUUACGUUGGGUCCGCCGAUGAUCCAGGGUAAUCUCCUCAUUUUACAUUAGCAACUGUAAUUCCACCUGCAAUCUUUAUUCCCUUUUGCCAGGAAACAACAUAUUGAUAGGCUCCUGAGAUUACGACAUAGACAUCUUUGGGGAUACAUUAUUCUGCUACCAAAAUUUUUGUUUCAAUUUUAGAUUGGAACCAAAAAUGGAAAGGCCCUGAAUGUCAGGAUUGUCAUCCACAUUCUUCAUCCAGGACAGAAAAUACAACGUCUAUUUUCAGAUUAAAGAUGGUUUCAGUUCAAAUAUUUUCUUGCUUUUAGCUAGAAUUAUAGCAAUUCAGUCUAGUAGCCCAGAUUGUCUCAUACUGAUUGGGUGUUCUGCUUGACAGUUCUAGAUGCCUUUGAUUAAUAAAACAUGGGGAAAGAAAUUAAAUAUUGAUAAAUGUAGUUCGGUGCAUUCAGCUUUUCAAAACACAGGGCCUUUUGGGAGGGAAAACCAUAAAAGGGGAUCUCAGUGCUGGAAAGAUUGGGAACCACUGCCUUAAAAAAUAUGGCCUCUGAUUAUUCCAGUUGGUCUUACUUGUAUAUAUGGCAUUUUUCUCUAUUACUGAUAGAUCUCUAGGGUUGGAGUAUGAAAGAUUUGGAAAAGACUUUUUAAAAUUGCUUUGUCGAAUAUGUUUUAUCUUUCAACUUGUUUAUGGUUUGAUCAAUAAUUCAUUCCUUAGCAUCUGUGUCUUAAAGACUAUCUUGUCUGUUGUCUUUAUGAAUGAUGAAUUAUGAUAUUGGGAGAACAAAAUACAUUCUUUUUAAAGCACAGCAUCUCAAAUGAAAUGCCCAGAAUUUAUAGUGUGUAGAUAACAACAAAAAAAUGACUUAAAGCCGCGAAACAGGAAGAGGGAUGAAAUAUUUGAUAAAGCAGGAAGUACAAAUAAUAUAACAGAAAAUCCAUCUGGACUUGGGCACUGAGCUGUUCAGAUGGCCUUUAUUUAUUUGCUUAGCCAAUUUGAAGAUUCUCCCUUUAAAAUACCAUUUCAAUUAAAAUGUUCUACCAUGAACUACUGGAGCAUAAGUUCACCCAGCUGUUAACCACACCCAGCACAGAUACCUUUCCAUUUUAGGUGUUUGUAUGGAAUAUAUUUUUCUCAAACUCCUAGUGCUUACCUUUCUGUUUUAAAUAAAGAAAGGGUGAAAAGACAGAACAAACCAGUUAUGUGGAGAGAAAAACUUAGGCACAGAGAGAAGUGUCAUUUGAACACAGACUCUGGCCUGUGCUGCAGUUUUUCUUUCUUUCUUUCUUUUUUUCUUUUUUGAGACGGAGUCUUGUCGCCCAGGUUGGAGGGCAGUGGUGCGAUCUCGGCUCACUGCGAGCUUCACCUCCCGGGUUCACACCAUUCUCCUGCCUCAGCCUCCCAAGUAGCUGGGACUACAGGCACCCACCACCACGUCCAGCUAAUUUUUUGUAUCUUUAGUAGAAACAGGGUUUCACCGUGUUAGCCAGGAUGGUCUUGAUCUCCUGACCUUGUGAUCUUCCCACCUCAGCUUCCCAAAGUGCUGGGAUUACAGGUGUGAGCCACCGUGCGCGGCCCCCUUGUGCUGCAGUUUUUAACACAUUGCAGCUAACACUUACUGAGCACUGACCCUGUGUCAGGCGUUGUGCAGAACUGAUAAUCCUCACAGCCACUCUAUGAGAUGUGCACUAUUAGACUUAUUUCUGAUGGAGAAACUGAGGCUUAGAGAGGUUAAUUCACUUGUAGAAGCUCACACGAUUAGUGAGCGAAGGAGCAGAGAGUCAAUCUCCACGCUGGCUUUAAAAAAAACACAGAUAGAGUCAUCUCAUUCUCCUACUUUGUAAACAUUAUUUUUUUUAACCUCACAAUAUUGGGAUUCUCCACCCUGGCUUCAUGGUAGAAUCAUUUGGGGUCUUUUUACAAAAUACCAUUGCCUAGAAUCCACCCACGACUACUUAAAAAGAACAAUAAUAACAACGCUAAUGACAGCCAACAUUACAUUGGGCUUACUCUGUGCUCAAUAUAAGUGUUACUAUGUGCCAAGGCUUUCUUUAACAUAUAUGGACACACACAUGCACACAUAUAUUCUCUCUAAUAUAUAUAACACUAACAUAUACAUAUAUUCAAAUGAGGGUGUCUCUCAAUAUAUUCUCAUUUAAUCCUCAAAAUAAACCUUGGAUGAAGAUACCAUUGAGUAUCACCAAUUUACAAAUGGGGAAGGUGAGACUCAGAAGAUUUAAAAGCCUAGCUCAUAUGAUUCAAGAGACAUGCAAAAAAAAAAAAAAAAAAAAAAAAAGCCUAGCUCACAAUUAUCUGGCUAGCAACUGGCCAAACUGGGAUUCUGAUCCCAGGAAGUUUGGCUGUGUACAGAAUCUGUACUUGUUGCUGGUAACCUCUGGCAGAUGCUAGAGAGCCAACCUACUUAAAAAAAAAAGUCAAAAAGGAAGAGUAAAACAUUUGUCCUGUGUUUACAUAUAUAAACUAUACCUCAGGUUAACUAGUAGAUGAGAAGAAUCUCUCUCUUGAACAGAAUUUUAGCUAAUAAAUGAAUGAGUGAUAGAAUUAGAAUAUUAUCAUUUUGCAGCCUCUGAUGAAAUAAUAAACCUAGACCAUGACCAUCAGUGGAUGCCAACUUCUCAAAAAAGAGAUGUCCAGGCUUUACGUUCUUCCUGAUAGAAGCAUACAUUACCUCUUAUGAAGGAUUAUUUUUUCUUUCUUUCUUUCUUUUUUUUUUUGUGUGUGUGUGAGAUGGAGACUUGCUCUGUCACCCAGGCUGGAGUGCAGUGGCGCGAUCUUGGUUCACUGCAACCUCCGCCUCCCAGGUGUGAGUGAUUCUCCUGCCUCAGCCUCACGAGUAGCUGGGAUUGCAGGCACCUGCCAUUAUGCCCGGCUAAUUUUUGUGUUUUCAGUAGAGACGGGGUUUCACCAUGUUGGUCAGGCUGGUCUCAAACUCCUAACCUCAAGUAAUCCGCCUACCUCAGCCUCCCAAAGUGCUGGAACUACAGGUAUGAGCCACCGCUCCUGGAGCUUAUGAAGGCUUCUUGCUAGAAAAGUCAAAUCUCUUCAAGCUUCUAGAAUCAAAUUCCAUUUUCAGAUAACACAAGAGACCAGAGGAACAUGUUAUAUGACACCUGGGGAUGUAAUCAGCAAAAUCCAGACUGGGGAACUCAACAGACAGAAGACUUCAUUUCCAUCACACAUAAAUAGAGACAAUGAGAGAGAGGACUUAUAGAUCAAAAGAUUCAUAUAAACUAAUUACAAUGUAUGUGUACAUCAUAUUUGGAUUCCGAUUUGAUAGCAUAUCUGUUAAAAAAAUAAACAUUGGGGAAAUUUGAACAUUCACUGGAUGCUUGAUGUCAUUAAAGUCAUUUAAAUUUCUUGUUUCUUUGUGUUUUUUGUUUGUUUCUUCAUUUGUUUUUAGAGACAGGGUCUCAUUCCAUUGUCCAGGCUGGAGUGUAGUGACACAAUCAUAGCUCACUGCAGCCCCAAAUUCCUGGGUUCAAGCAAUCCUCCCAUCUCAGCCUCCUGAGUAGCUGGGACCACAAGCACAUACCACCAUACCUGGCUAAUUUUUAAAAACUUUUUGUCAAGACACAGUCUCACCAUCUUGCCCAGGCUGGUCUUAAACUCCUGGGCUCAAAUGAUCCUCC